AGUCGAGAAUCUUCGGCAAUGAGCGCAAGCUUGACCGAGCGACGCCGCGUGCGGGAUGAAGGCCUUCGGGUUGUAAACCGCGAAAGUAGGGAGGAAAUCGCUAGGGGUUCUCCCCUAGUGUUGACCUAUCUUCAGUAAGGACGGGCUAAGUUCGUGCCAGCAGCCGCGGUAAUACGAACCGUCCAAACGUUAUUCGGAUUUAUUGGGCUUAAAGGGUAUGUAGGCGGCCCUUCAAGUCGGGUGUGAAAGCCCUCGGCUCAACCGAGGAACUGCGCCCGAUACUGUGGGGCUCGAGGGAGACAGAGGUAAGCGGAACUGAUGGUGGAGCGGUGAAAUGCGUUGAUAUCAUCAGGAACACCAGUGGCGAAAGCGGCUUACUGGGUCUCUUCUGACGCUGAGAUACGAAAGCUAGGGGAGCGAA
rnacentral:rRNA from 1 species